rnacentral:rRNA from 1 species
GACGAACGCUGGCGGCGUGCUUAACACAUGCAAGUCGAACGGAAAGGCCCUGCUUUUGUGGGGUGCUCGAGUGGCGAACGGGUGAGUAACACGUGAGUAACCUGCCCUUGACUUUGGGAUAACUUCAGGAAACUGGGGCUAAUACCGGAUAGGAGCUCCUGCUGCAUGGUGGGGGUUGGAAAGUUUCGGCGGUUGGGGAUGGACUCGCGGCUUAUCAGCUUGUUGGUGGGGUAGUGGCUUACCAAGUCUUUGACGGGUAGCCGGCCUGAGAGGGUGACCGGCCACAUUGGGACUGGAAUACGGCACAGACUCCAACGGGAGGCAGCGGUGGGGAAUAGUGCACAAUAGGCGGAAGCCUGAUGCAGCAACGCCGCGUGCGGGAAGACGGCAUUCGGGUUGGAAACCGCUUUCGUCUGAGACGAAGCGUGAGUGACGGUAAUGGGUAAAGAAGCACCGGCUAACUACGUG